rnacentral:rRNA from 1 species
CCUACGGGGGACAGCAGUAGGGAAUCUUUCACAAUGGGCGAAAGCCUGAUGGAGCAACGCCGCGUGCAGGAUGAAGGCCUUCGGGUUGUAAACUGCUUUUAUAAGCGAGAAAUAUGAUGGUAACUUAUGAAUAAGGAUCGGCUAACUACGUGCCAGUAGCCGCGGUCAUACGUAGGAUCCGAGCAUUAUCCGGAGUGACUGGGUGUAAAGAGUUGCGUAGGUGGCAUAAUAAGUAGCUAGUGAAAUCUGGUGGCUCAACCAUUCAGACUAUUAGCUAAACUGUUAAGCUCGAGACCGUUAGGGGUAACUGGAAUUUCUAGUGUAGGAGUGAAAUCCGUAGAUAUUAGAAGGAACACCAAUAGCGUAGGCAGGUUGCUGGGACGGUUCUGACACUAAGGCACGAAAGCGUAGGGAGCAAACGGGAUUAGAUACCCUUGUAGUC